rnacentral:rRNA from 1 species
UACGGAGGGUCCAAGCGUUAUCCGGAAUCAUUGGGUUUAAAGGGUCCGUAGGCGGUUUUGUAAGUCAGUGGUGAAAGCCCAUCGCUCAACGGUGGAACGGCCAUUGAUACUGCAAGACUUGAAUUAUUAGGAAGUAACUAGAAUAUGUAGUGUAGCGGUGAAAUGCUUAGAUAUUACAUGGAAUACCAAUUGCGAAGGCAGGUUACUACUAAUUGAUUGACGCUGAUGGACGAAAGCGUGGGGAGCGAACAGG